rnacentral:tRNA from 2 species
GGGGCCUUAGCUCAGUUGGUAGAGCACCGGCUUUGCAAGCCGGGUGUCAGGGGUUCGAAUCCCCUAGGCUCCACCU